CUGCGGAGGAUCAUUAUUGAAUGAACUUGGCUUGGUUGUUGCUGGCUUCUUUGGAGGCAUGUGCACACCUUGUCAUCUUUAUAUCUCCACCUGUGCACCUCUUGUAGACCUGGAUUCAACAUUUCCGAGGCAACUCGGUCGUGAGGAAUUGCUUAACCAGCUUUCCUUGGUAGUCUCCAGGCCUAUGUUUUUCAUAUACACCAUAAGAAUGUAACAGAAUGUAAUUAUUAGACUUGAUUGUCUUAUAAACUAUAUACAACUUUCAGCAACGGAUCUCUUGGCUCUCGCAUCGAUGAAGAACGCAGCGAAAUGCGAUAAGUAAUGUGAAUUGCAGAAUUCAGUGAAUCAUCGAAUCUUUGAACGCACCUUGCGCUCCUUGGUAUUCCGAGGAGCAUGCCUGUUUGAGUGUCAUUAAAUUCUCAACCUUUAUCAGUUUUACUGGUGAAUGGCUUGGAUGUGGGAGUUGCUGGUUUCAUGUUUUUGAAAUCAGCUCUUCUGAAAUGCAUUAGCUGGUUGCCUUGUGCAAACUUGUCUAUUGGUGUGAUAAUUAUCUACGCCGUGGACUUGCAUGAAUGAGCACUGCUUAUAAUCGUCUGUAAAGACAAUCUAUGACAAUUUGACCUCAAAUCAGGUAGGACUACCCGCUGAACUUAAGCAUAU
rnacentral:rRNA from 1 species